CCUUGAUUAUUUACUUAGGGAAGCAAUUAUUUUAUGAAUUAUAUGAACCCAUAAAAAAAUUAUUAAGUUAAUCCAUAUAUUAUCGGGGAUUAUGUAUUACUUUCUAAAAUUAUUAAAUUUAGACGCAUGAAUUGUAUAUUUGGAAGCACCAACAUAAAUGAGUAAGGUGGUAAAUAAUUAAGCAACAUAAAACUAUACUUGGCAUUCUGGUGUUUUAUUUGUUUGUGAGUUUAAUAUACGUGUAAAAAAACUUGGAAUUCAAAUUUGGAGAAAUCGAGAUUUAAUUAAAAAAAGGGGUGAAUGAAAGGGGAAAACACAACCUGGUCUUGGGCUGAUGGCGCUAGCUAGCCACACCUGAUGGGCUGCCACCGUGCGCUAGGAAGUGGAUGUUGAGGGGUUUUUUUUUAUUUCUAUUGUUAUUUUAUUCACCUUGCCGGAUUUGACGUCAUCACGAUGUCACCCCUGACAUCACAUAUACGUGAUCCUUGCUAGCCGAUCCUAUCUCCUUUAGUUCUGGGCGUAUAAAUAUACGCGGGUUGUGACUCCCUCGGCCAUCGUCGAGACUCGUGAGGCCUCCGAGCAAGCAGCGGAGAGAGAUGGAGAGAGAAAGCCAGAUGCCGCUGCUGUGUUGGCCACCACCACCGACUGGGGCAAGAGAGAAGGAGAGAAGGAAGAUGCCGUGGUGACCGGCGGUACGGAUCUUCUUCACGCGCGAGGUAUUGGGAUGGAUGCACUCGGUUCGUUGGUCGACGGCGAGCUUCGAUGCUUGCGUUGUCGUCGGGGGGCGGAGAAGGACCUCGUGGCCACCAGAAUUUCUCACCCAUGCCGCUGCUCCGCCGCGGAACCACUAGCGCCGUGGUCGGAGAAUAUCGGCAUCCUCACCAUUGUGUGAGGUCACGAGUCACCUGAUGAGCAAGUUGGUACCUGGAAUCUCAAGUGCCAGGUAAGUUGUGCCCUUGAUCACUUACUUUUUCCUAGCCAUGUUCUUAUUAAUUAUAAUGAUCUGCAUAGGUUAAUUUUGAUGGGACCCAAUAGGUUACCCUAGAUUUGACUAUCUUUAUACCUUGUUUCACCACUGAUUUUACUACUAAAUUCAUGGGUAGUACCUGCUAUUGCUUUAUGUGGAUUUGGGUAUGAAGAUACACUAUUCAUGAUUACAUUUUUAUUAUCUUUUUAUUAUUAUUGUUCAUGUUAAGAUCAUUAUUGUUAAUGCGAACAUGGAGCGACCACCCGGGAAAACAGUGCUACCACAAGGGUAUAAUGGGACGCCCUUGGCUGAUUAACUAGGAAAGCUAGUGGAGGUCUUCCUUACCCGAAAGGGGCAAGGGCAGUAGGGGAGUGGUCAGUGUAGGGAGGUCCUUGGUUGAUUUUGCUGCGAUGGCGGUCAGGCAAGAACCCUGCAUUGGAGCUUCCUAUAAACUGUAGCGGGUUUUCUGAAGCUAGUGGAACUUUGUAAAGGCCUCGUAGUGUUACCCUGCCUCGCCUCCUCGGUAGAGGUGUAUGGGAUUGGCCAUCUCUUGGCAGAUGGGUAACAUGACUUGUGGGUAAAUAUGCGCAACCUCUGCAGAGUGUAAAACUGGUAUACUAGCCGUGCUCACGGUCAUGAGCGGCUUGGACCCUCACAUGAUUAAUUUAUGGAACUAAAUUCAAUUUGUCAUAUGCAUUGCAUCGCAGGUGAUGUUGUUACUUUUGUUCUACUACUUAAUUGGGUUGGUAUUUACUUAUACUUAGUAAUUGCUAAUAAAAUUUUGACCAACAUUAAAAGCAAUGCUCAGCUUCAACCAUCCUCUUUGGUAAGCCUUACACUUCACGUGAGCUCCCACCUUUGGCGAGUUCAUGCACAUUAUUCCCCACAACUUGUUGAGCGAUGAACGUAUGUGAGCUCACUCUUGAUGUCUCACACCCCCCCACAGAUCAAGAACAGGUACUGCAGGAUGAGGCGCAUGGAGGAUGCUGCGAUGUGUUCGUGAGAGGUCUAGGCCGUCGUCUCCCAGUCAACUUUGGGUUGCUGGAUCGUUUCCUCAUAUGAUGUAAUUAUUUAAUUAUUUUCGUACAGAACUCCUGUUAUAUAGUAAAGAUGUGACAUUCGAUCCUGUGCCACUAUGCAUCAUAUGUGUGAGACUUGGUCCCAGCACACCUGGUGUUUAUGUUCGCGCCCGGGUUUUUGACCCCUAAAAUCCGGGUGUGACAAAGGUAAACCUAAACACACGGCAUGUCAGGGUACUCCAACCCCGCACAUGACAACCGUCCCCAUCGAUUCCCCAUUCGCGUCCAGGCCUCACCGCCUUGGCAUACAAUGCUCCACUGACCCCGGCUGCUUCCGUGCAGUGACUGCAGUUGUACCCACCAUAGCUAGCAUGGGAGACCCAGUCUCAGGUCGCAUGAGGGAUAAAGUCCGCGCCCGGCUUCACUCAGGGACAAGGCAUCCUCCCAGGAUCCAAGUCUCGAGACCAGCAUAUGUCCCGUUAUCAAGAUGAAUACAAUCAAUUCCUGACCUCGCGCGAGUGCUAGAAAAAUCACUCGACUUCUACCGAGAUCCUGAUUAGCAAGCAGCUACUCGACCUAGCAUACUAGUAUUCAUCUCAAAAAGGAAUCCUAAGUUCAUGCAACUAGAGGUUUCAAGCAACUCCUACACUUAAGUGCACAUUGCAAUCCUACAAGCAUUAAGUGUAGUAAAGUAGCAUAUAAUAACAUGGUUAUGCAUAAAAUCGGGGCUUGCCUUCAAUUGCUGGGGCUGCGGGGAGAUCCUCAAUAGCAGCCUCUGAAGCCUGCUCCUGGUCCUCUUCUUGGACAGGUCCUUGCUCGGGGAUGAGCACGUACUCUCCGUCGGCAAGAUUGCAAUCUAAUGAAUGCAAUGCGUAAGAUAUAUGCAUGAUAUGAUAUGUGCUUUUAGAAAUUACAACUUUAAAGGUGUAUGAUCUUCUGAGUUUAAACAAGUUAACUUUACUUAUGUAAAACCCUUAGUGGUAUGCUUGGUAAGUUGGGUUAGACUUAGCUAAGGUAAGGGGUAGGUUUAUUUUUUUUGGGGUUCCACUAAAUUCCUUUUAAGUCCUAGGGAUAAAUGAUAAGUACUCAAGUUAGACUCAUUGAGGUGGGGUUCAUUUCUUCUUUCCUUUUUCUUUUAUUCUUUCAAUGUUUUGGAGUAGGUUUGAACUACAAGUUG